rnacentral:rRNA from 1 species
UACGAAGGGGGCUAGCGUUGUUCGGAAUUACUGGGCGUAAAGCGCGCGCAGGCGGUCUUCCAAGUCAGUGGUGAAAGCCCGGAGCUCAACUCCGGAAUUGCCAUUGAAACUGUUAGACUUGAGGAUGAGAGAGGUGAGUGGAAUUCCCAGUGUAGAGGUGAAAUUCGUAGAUAUUGGGAAGAACACCGGUGGCGAAGGCGGCUCACUGGCUCAUUACUGACGCCUCAGGCGCGAUAGCGUGGGGAUCAAACAGG